GGCCUCCUAGCUCAGUAGAGCGUUGGCUGUACUAAAGCCUUCCCCUUGUUAGCGUGGGUUCAAGUCCCACCGAGGCUG
rnacentral:tRNA from 1 species